CAGCAGCCACGGGAAUACGUAGGGUGCAAGCGUUAAUCGGAAUUACUGGGCGUAAAGCGUGCGCAGGCGGUUAUAUAAGACAGAUGUGAAAUCCCCGGGCUCAACCUGGGAACUGCAUUUGUGACUGUAUAGCUAGAGUACGGCAGAGGGGGAUGGAAUUCCGCGUGUAGCAGUGAAAUGCGUAGAUAUGCGGAGGAACACCGAUGGCGAAGGCAAUCCCCUGGGCCUGUACUGACGCUCAUGCACGAAAGCGUGGGGAGCAAACAGGAUUAGAGACCCCCGUAGUCCCUGUCUCUUAUAC
rnacentral:rRNA from 1 species